GUUCCAUACAUCGUACUGAUCCAUCAUGAUGGCCAGACACAGCAGAUGUCACCUAGCAACAAAACAGAACUAUGGACUCAAAUGGAGGCUUCUUCUCACUCCUUCGAUUAAAAAAUGACAGCG